rnacentral:rRNA from 1 species
AACGAACGCUGGCGGCAUGCCUAACACAUGCAAGUCGAACGAGACCUUCGGGUCUAGUGGCGCACGGGUGCGUAACGCGUGGGAAUCUGCCCUUGGGUACGGAAUAACAGCGAGAAAUUGCUGCUAAUACCGUAUAAUGACGUAAGUCCAAAGAUUUAUCGCCCAGGGAUGAGCCCGCGUAGGAUUAGCUUGUUGGUGAGGUAAAAGCUCACCAAGGCGACGAUCCUUAGCGGUCUGAGAGGAUGAUCAGCCACACUGGGACUGAGACACGGCCCAGACUCCUACGGGAGGCAGCAGUGGGGAAUAUUGGACAAUGGGCGAAAGCCUGAUCCAGCAAUGCCGCGUGAGUGAUGAAGGCCUUAGGGUU